GAAGCUGUGGCGAAAAGGUUUUCGCUGCGAGGUAAGACUCAGGCUUUGUUGAGGGUUCGAGUCCCUCCAGCUUCA
rnacentral:tRNA from 3 species